UAGGUGAACCUGCGGAAGGAUCAUUACCGAGUUAGGGUCUUAUAGGCCCGACCUCCAACCCUUUGUUUACUACACCAUGUUGCUUUGGCGGGCCCGCCUUUUGGGGCCGCCGGGGGUUUACAAGCCUCUGGUCAGUGUCCGCCAGUAGCCUUAUUAAAUUCUUUUAUAAUUAUGUUGUCUGAGUAUAAAUAUAAAUCGUUAAAACUUUCAACAACGGAUCUCUUGGUUCUGGCAUCGAUGAAGAACGCAGCGAAAUGCGAUAAGUAAUGCGAAUUGCAGAAUUCAGUGAGUCAUCGAAUCUUUGAACGCAUAUUGCGCCCUUUGGUAUUCCGAAGGGCAUGCCUGUUCGAGCGUCAUUAUCAACCAUCAAGCCUGGCUUGUCGUUGGACCCUUUUUACCGCUGAAAUAUGUGGUAGGUCCGAAAGAUAAUGACGGCGUCGUGUUUGACCCUAGAUGCAACGAGCUUUUUAUAGCACGCAUUGAAGUGGUCGACCGACCCGGUCUUUAACCAUCAUUUUCUAAGGUUGACCUCGGAUCAGGUAGGAAUACCCGCUGAACUUAA
rnacentral:rRNA from 1 species